rnacentral:rRNA from 1 species
UACGUAGGGGGCUAGCGUUGUCCGGAAUCAUUGGGCGUAAAGAGCGCGUAGGCGGCUAGAUAAGUCCGGUGUGAAAGUCACAGGCUCAACCUGUGAAUGCCGCUGGAAACUGUCUGGCUAGAGUCCGGAAGGGGCGAGUGGAAUUCCUGGUGUAGCGGUGAAAUGCGCAGAUAUCAGGAGGAACACCGAUGGCGAAGGCAGGUCUCUGGGCAUUAACUGACGCUGAGGAGCGAAAGCAUGGGGAGCGAACAGG